rnacentral:rRNA from 1 species
UGGUGGAGUGAUCUGUCUGGUUAAUUCUGAUAACGAACGAGACCAUCGCUUAUUAAAUAGAAUUGGGAACACGAAGAUAUGUAUCUGCAUUCUCUUUUGAGUUUGUUGAUCAUAUUUUCAUCAGUUGUUACUAAAUAUACUUCUUAAAGGGACUAUUCAUAGUUCAGUGAAUUGAAGUUGAUGGCAAAAACA